UACGUAGGUGGCAAGAGUUGUCCGGAAUUAUUGGGCGUAAAGAGCGCGCAGGUGGUUGAUUAAGUCUGAUGUGAAAGCCCACGGCUUAACCGUGGAGGGUCAUUGGAAACUGGUCGACUUGAGUGCAGAAGAGGGAAGUGGAAUUCCAUGUGUAGCGGUGAAAUGCGUAGAGAUAUGGAGGAACACCAGUGGCGAAGGCGGCUUCCUGGUCUGUAACUGACACUGAGGCGCGAAAGCGUGGGGAGCAAACAGGAUUAGAUA
rnacentral:rRNA from 1 species